CAACCCAAUGACAUCUGUACAUUUCUUGGAUUGUGUGGAGGACGUGACAUUGACAGGAUUAGAGAUAUGUUGCUUAAUCACAUGUCAAAAACUCUACCAGUGCCAACUAUGAAGGUAACAUUUGAGGAAAUGAUUUUGAAGUUAUUGUUUGCAUGUUCUGCACAGCUGACUAGGUUUCUCUGCUCUCUAACACAGAUGGAGACGUCCAUGCAGUGCUCUGUUUGCACAUACAUUGUGAGCACCCUGAGAGUAUCUGUUUCCCAGAGAGAGGACUCAGAGCAUCAUAACUGUCCUGCUGGAGAGUUUGUGCAAAGAGUUUCCUCCUCUGUUUCAGCCACAGUGCAAUAAGAUGGUUGAAAAAUACGUCCAGCUGUUGGUUGACAUGCUACUGAACAAUACUUCACCUAACUUCAUAUGCACUCUGCUUCAUCUUUGUGAAAUACAGGAGCAUCCCGUCAAAGCGGCCGAGGUGCUUUCUGAUUGUGAUUCCUGCCUUACAUUGGCAGUUUUGACUCGUUUGCAUCUGGGCUCCAAUGCCACCGAGCUCCAGGCUGCUUCAUUCCUGAACACUGUCUGCCAGCUGCACCCCAGUGCCAUGCCAAAGUGUGAGACUUUUGUGCAGCGUCAUGGGAAGCAGCUCAGUGUAUUUCUGAGCAAACAGCAGGGGGCGCUGGACAAUUGCAAGAAGGCAAAUUGGUGCAUUUCUGUUGAGAAGGAGCCUGUCAUUGCUGCUGACCCCUGUAGUCUCGGACCAAUCUACAGCUGCAGAGACCUCCAGACUGCUGUUGACUGUGGGGUAGUUUCAUUCUGCCAGAAGAACAUGUGGGAGUAAUCUGUUACAGCCGUCUAUUAUACAUGCGGAGUCAAAGGUUAUUUGUGUGCGUUGCAACAGUGUCUCAGCAUUAACAAUGUAGCCUAUAUGAAAAGCUGAUGGGCCUACUGGACCAACAUCACAGCAUUUUUCUUCCUCUCCUGGAUUUUCAUGGUUAUAUUUGCUUUUCGAGUUGAAAUUGAGGCUAACAAAUUCAUAGGCUUGGCUAAUAUCUUCAGCAAACAAGAUAAAAUAGAACAAACUCAUAUAAAAACAAGUUUUCUGGGGCAGCUAUUAUUUUAAUAAAAAGAAAUAGUUGCUCA
ensembl:lncRNA